rnacentral:rRNA from 1 species
AGCGAACGCUGGCGGCGUGCUUAACACAUGCAAGUCGAACGGCUCUCGAGUAGCAAUACUUGAGGGUAGUGGCGAACGGGUGAGUAACACGUGGGUAAUCUCCCCCCGAGUGAGGGAUAAGCUUGCGAAAGCGGGUCUAAUACCGCAUGACGCUUCGGGACUCAAGUCUUCGAAGUCAAAGCCGUAAGGCGCUUGGGGAUGAGCCUGCGUCCUAUUAGCUAGUUGGUAGGGUAAUGGCCUACCAAGGCUAUGAUGGGUAGCCGGCCUGAGAGGGUGAUCGGCCACACUGGGACUGAGACACGGCCCAGACUCCUACGGGAGGCAG